rnacentral:rRNA from 1 species
GACGAACGCUGGCGGCGUGCCUAACACAUGCAAGUCGAACGGGACCGGGGGCAACUCCGGUUCAGUGGCGGACGGGUGCGUAACACGUGAGGAACAUGACUUUCGGUGGGGGAUAGCCGGCCCAACGGCCGGGUAAUACCGCGUACGACCAUUUGGGGACAUCCCUGAGGGGGGAAAGCAGCAAUGCGCCGAAAGAGUGCCCCGCGGCCGAUAAGCUAGUUGGUGGGGUAACGGCUCACCAAGGCGACGACUGGUAGCUGGUCUGAGAGGAUGGCCAGCCACAUUGGGACUGAGACACGGCCCAGACUCCUACGGGAGGCAGCAGUGGGGAAUAUUGCGCAAUGGGCGAAAGCCUGACGCAGCGACGCCGCGUGUGGGAUGACGGCCUUCGGGUUGUAAACCACUGUCGGGAGGGACGAAUGCCCGCAAGGGGAGUGACGGUACCUCCAAAGGAAGCACCGGCUAACUCCGUGCCAGCAGCCGCCGUAA